rnacentral:rRNA from 1 species
CAGUCGCCGCGGUAACACGAAGGGUGCAAGCGUUACUCGGAAUUACUGGGCGUAAAGCGUGCGUAGGUGGUGGUUUAAGUCCGUUGUGAAAGCCCUGGGCUCAACCUGGGAAUUGCAGUGGAUACUGGGUCACUAGAGUGUGGUAGAGGAUAGUGGAAUUUCCGGUGUAGCAGUGAAAUGCGUAGAGAUCGGAAGGAACAUCUGUGGCGAAGGCGACUAUCUGGGCCAACACUGACACUGAGGCACGAAAGCGUGGGGAGCAAACAGGAUUAGAUACCCGUGUAGUCCCUGUCUCUUAUAC